rfam:Brucella melitensis biovar Abortus 2308 chromosome I, complete sequence, strain 2308
CCUCAUCCACCUGUUGCGGCGAGAUGAAAUGGACAUGGGUAUCGAUGCCGCCCGCGGUGACGAUCUUGCCUUCGCCAGCGAUGAUCUCCGUGCCGGGGCCGAUGAUGAUCGAGAUGCCGGGCUGCGUAUCGGGAUUGCCUGCCUUGCCGAUGAGGGCGAUGCGCCCGUCGAGAAGCCCGAUAUCCGCCUUGUAGAUGCCGCUAUGGUCGAGGAUCAGCGCAUUGGUGAUGACGGUGUCCAUCGCGCCUUCGGCGCGGGAAAGCUGGCUCUGGCCCAUACCGUCGCGG